GACAGAGAGAUGUAAAGUCAGAAAACACACCCUAGAAAAAUAGAACGCUGAUACAAAUUUAUGCAGUUACAUGGAGAUAAUCACAAGCUGCUUUUUACUUGCUAUAUACCCGAUACCCAGUAAAUACAGGGUGAGUUUCACCAAUACAGACACUUUUUAUUUCAGUCUGAUAUAUCAUCAAAUUUCUGACUUUUAGUGCUAAACAAAAAAUUAACUCCGCUAUUGGCGCAUUAGCAGAAGUGUGCCCUCCAUUUUAAAGCUGCUGCCCUUUCCCUGCAUUGCUGGCCUGUCACCUAAAAAGACACAGCCACUGAGAAACCAGCAGGUUUUUAAAUCGACCUCCACUGUGUCAUUACCAGCUGCUUUUGCAUUUCCUUGGUGUGGAGGGCUGAUCAUAUCUGAUCAUUUUAUGUUGUUGAAAUUCAGUGAAAGUAGACCUGAAAAUCUUUAUUAAACUGAUCAAACCAACCCAAUUAAACAUAGUGCACUGAAAUAGUUCUUUAAACUUUCCAUUCAGUCAGUCACAUUUUUUAUGAAAUUGACUCUAAAAUUAAAGGGAAACCAGUUUUAUCUUUACGUUUGAAGUCUAAUCUUUAAGCUCAUUCUGUCACAAAAGGUAAAAUUUGCUUCCAAUUCUUUACUGAGAAAACCAACAAGACUUUUCUUGAGAAACUUUAUGUUGGGGAUCUGGGACAGAGCAGAAAAACAACUGCAGGAUUUAUGAUGGCUUUGUUUGUUUACAUGUUUCUGUGGACUUUGCAGUAACAAAUGAGCUGGUCGGGUAUGAAACAAUGAAUAAGUUACCCAAACUGGUAUGAAACUUACCAGUUUGGGUAUAAACUGGUAAGUUUCAUACUAAAUGAGCUGGUUGAACCUGGGUCUGGAGAUGGAGCAGAGCAGGUUUGACCGCCCUGCUAACAGACUCCUUUCUUUUCUUUCAAGCCGCUCGUUUAGAAAAAAGAAAAAAGCUGCACACAGGUUUUCAUUAUUUUCCCCAGCAGACAGAGCGAGAGAGACGAGCCGGGCGCGGCGGGUGAAGCGAGAGCCGAGCGAGGAUGACGUCAGCUUUGUUUAUGUGCACAAAGCGGGAGGAGGAGGGCGAGCGGCAACUCCUCACGCGAUCGAAAACAGCAAGAAAAGAGAGGGAGGGAGGAGAGCGAUAAGGAAAUAACAGACAGGACAGGCAUCCUGAGGGAAAGCAGUGACUGCUACACUACUGCCUUUAGCUUUACCAUAAAACCUGCUUAAAAUUGCUUUCUGUUGUGACAAAAGUUAAUUGUUGGUUGUUUUGCAAGGAGAAUGAACUUACUGAGAAUGAUGCAAAUAAAGAAAACAAAAAGAGGGAAAGCAAAGCAGAUAGAACAAAGAGGCAAAUUUGAAGAUUUUCCAGGUUUUUAACACUUUUACAAUUCAAGCAUUUUCAAUGUAAGAUGUCAAACUUUUCCAGCAAGACUUUAGAGAUAAAAACAAUACAAAAUAACCACAAAAAGACAAUUACAAAUCACUAUUAUGUGCCUUAAUUUAUUACUGUUGUUAAUAGUCUUUUGAUAGAAUUCUAGGAAACUAAGAUAUAGCAAAAUGUUAUGUUUGAAAAACCAAAAUACCAGAUUGGUCUGUGAACAAAACUCUAAUACAACAAAAGAAAAUCCACCAAUUUCCAUAAUGAUGUUUAAAAUAACAAGAAAUCAAUAAAAAUAUAUAUUGCAAUAGAGACUUAAUCAAUAUCAAUGGAUAAUAGCUCUGGUAGAAUAUUCAAUAAUCAGUAUGAAUGCAGAGGAAAAGCUUUAGCUGCUCAACCUCUCAUGGUUAACUAAACUUGGUUGGUGGAGUCUACUAACUCACUCGCUCUUUGGUUACCUAGCAACCACCGGCUGGGGAGCAAGAAGUUUCAAGUUCCCCCCUAGGCAACUUCGGUUGCCUAGCAACGACCUGCUGAGUAACUGCGCCUCCUAGCUGCUUAAAAAAACACGAAGUAAAAAUUUCAUGGAAAGAUCACGAAACCAGUUUGACAACAUUUUAGAUACUUAAAACAAAAAAUGAAUCAAUAAUUAUUGAUAGACUGAUAUGAAGCACUUAUAGUGAGAUAAGUUUUCAGUUAUAUCGUCCUAAAAUAUAAGAUAAUUAAUAAGUCAUUGAGCCAUUAGUUAUAAUAAAUAUUCAGAAAAUCGAAACAAUACAAAUAAAUCAUGUUAAGGUAAAUUACCUUCCUGCUCAAAUUAAAUGCUUAAACACAAAAUAUAAAGUUAACAACAAAAUCCCUAAUAUUGUUCUGCUUUCUGUCGCUUGGCAAAUAGAAUAACAUUAGUUAUUAUAACUAAUCUAAAAAAAGUUUAGUUUAAUUUAACAUCAGACGAUGAGAGAAAAUUUUAUUUUGUAUCUUUUUAUUAGGCGUAAUUAAUAUUUUCCUUUUAUUAGAAAACUGUGUAGUUUGAAUAUUCAGCACUUUCUAAACUUUGAAAACACCUUUUUGAAAUUCAAGCAUUUUCAUGGAUUUUUGUGGAACAAAACAAGGAAUAAAAGAUAAAACACCGAGCAAAAGAAACUGAUUCACUCUCACAAAUCUGUUUCCAUAGAAACAGGAACACAAACUCACUUUACCCAAGCAGAGACAAACUAGCCUGUUGAGAUAUUUGUCUGUUUGCAUGAAAGAAAAAAUCAACCGUGGUGCGUUCAAGAGCAAUAAGAAAACUUUACGCUCAUAUUCUGGGUUGACCUA